AACUUCCGACGGUGCAAUGUCGACAACUAGAAACCCCGCAUGCGCCAAAUUCGAUCCUACAGUCAGACCAUGUCGAGACGCUUCAGUGUGCAGCAAACCGCAUAUGAAGGAAGUGCUGUGUCCUGAUCCUGACCAGGCUCACUACUGUCCAGUCACAUGCGGAUGUUGCGUGCCCGAAACGGCUGAAAUGAUUGGAUAGAUUGCAUUAUGUUACCCUGUGACGCUGACAUCGCAAUAAAUCAUUAUCAGAAAAUGCUAAUAAACAUACCUGCUGAAAUAUCACAGUUUUAGCGCAAAACACUG